GACGAACGCUGGCGGCGUGCUUAACACAUGCAAGUCGAACGGAAAGGCCCCUUUGGGGGUCCUCGAGUGGCGAACGGGUGAGUAACACGUGAGUAACCUGCCCUUGACUUCGGGAUAACUUCAGGAAACUGGGCUAAUACCGGAUAGGAAUCCUUGCUGCAUGGUGGGGGUUGGAAAGCUUCGGCGGUUUUGGAUGGACUCGCGGCUUAUCAGCUUGUUGGUGGGGUAGUGGCUUACCAAGGCUUUGACGGGUAGCCGGCCUGAGAGGGCGACCGGCCACAUUGGGACUGAGAUACGGCCCAGACUCCUACGGGAGGCAGCAGUGGGGAAUAUUGCACAAUGGGCGGAAGCCUGAUGCAGCAACGCCGCGUGCGGGAUGACGGCCUUCGGGUUGUAAACCGCUUUCAGCAGGGGCGAAGCUUGUGGUGACGGUACCUGCAGAAGAAGCACCGGCUAACUACGUG
rnacentral:rRNA from 1 species